AUUGAACGCUGGCGGCAGGCCUAACACAUGCAAGUCGAGCGGAUGAAGGGAGCUUGCUCCUGGAUUCAGCGGCGGACGGGUGAGUAAUGCCUAGGAAUCUGCCUGGUAGUGGGGGAUAACGUCCGGAAACGGGCGCUAAUACCGCAUACGUCCUGAGGGAGAAAGUGGGGGAUCUUCGGACCUCACGCUAUCAGAUGAGCCUAGGUCGGAUUAGCUAGUUGGUGGGGUAAAGGCCUACCAAGGCGACGAUCCGUAACUGGUCUGAGAGGAUGAUCAGUCACACUGGAACUGGGACACGGUCCAGACUCCUACGGGAGGCAGCAGUGGGGAAUAUUGGACAAUGGGCGAAAGCCUGAUCCAGACAUGCCGCGUGUGUGAAGAAGGUCUUCGGAUUGUAAAGCACUUUAAGUUGGGAGGAAGGGCAGUAAGUUAAUACCUUGCUGUUUUGACGUUACCAACAGAAUAAGCACCGGCUAACUUCGUG
rnacentral:rRNA from 1 species